UUCCGGUUGAUCCUGCCGGAGGCGACCGCUAUUGGAGUUCGAUUAAGCCAUGCGAGUAGAAAGAAAUUAGAUUCUUUGCAUACUGCUCAGUAACACGUGGAUAACCUGCCCUACACUGGGGGAUAAUCUCGGGAAACUGAGCAUAAUACCCCAUAGACCACUACGCCUGGAACGGUGAGUGGUUCAAAGCUUCGGCGGUGUAGGAUGGGUCUGCGGCGUAUCAGGUUGUAGGGGGUGUAAUGGACCUCCUAGCCAUCGACGCGUACGGGUUGUGGGAGCAAUAGCCCGGAGACGGAUUCUGAGACACGAAUCCGGACCCUACGGGGUGCAGCAGGCGCGAAAACUUCACACUGCAGGAAACUGUGAUGAGGGAACUCCAAGUGACUGCACAAUGUGUAGCCUUUUCUUGAAUUUUAAUAGUUCUUGGAAUAAGGGCUGGGAAAGACCGGUGCCAGCCGCCGCGGUAAUACCGGCAGCUCGAGUGGUCGUCGCUUUUAUUGGGCCUAAAACGUCCGUAGCCUGUUUGGUAAAUCUGUGGGUAAAUCAACCAGCUUAACUGGUUGAAUUCUGCAGAGACUGCCAGACUAGGGACCGGGAGAGGUGUGGGGUACUCUAGGGGUAGGGGUAAAAUCCUGUCAUCCUUAGAGGACCACCAGUUGCGAAGGCGCCACACUGGAACGGAUCCGACGGUCAGGGACGAAGCCUAGGGGCACGAACCGGAUUAGAUACCCGGGUAGUCCUAGGUGUAAACGCUGUGAACUUGGUGUCGGGGAUCCGUCAUGGGUCCCCGGUGCCGGAGUGAAGAUGUUAAGUUCACUGCCUGGGGAGUACGGUCGCAAGGCUGAAACUUAAAGGAAUUGGCGGGGGAGCACUGUAACGGGAGGAGCGUGCGGUUUAAUUGGAUUCAACGCCGGA
rnacentral:rRNA from 1 species